UUGGUUUUAAAGCUAUGUUAGGAAUAUUCAUAAUGUAAUUUCCAAAACUUGCAUAUGAUCUGCAAUUUGUAGCAGAUCUACUCCCACCGGGAGGAGGCCCCGGGGCAGACCCAGGACGCGCUGGAGAGAUUAUAUCUCUCGGCUGGCCUGGGAACGCCUUGGUGUUCCCCCGGAUGAGCUGGAGGAGGUGGCUGGGGAGAGGGAGGUCUGGGCUUCUCUGCUUAGGCUGCUGCCCCCGCGACCCGACUUCGGAUAAAGCGGAUGAGGAUGGAUGGAUCUACUGACUAUCACAUAGCAGCUGGAGCAGUCUCCAAUGGAGGGGAAGUCCACACACACAGUGUGGUACCACCUUCCGCAGAAAGCUGUUUUCGCGAUCGCCUCCUGCAUGAGAAUAUCACCAGUAGCAGCUCCUGAAAAGCAAGUCUACCACACAUCUGUUCGACCAACGCCAAUUAAUCUACGACGCCAGUUAAUCUGGAACACCAGCCGCCGCCUUGGGUCUCUCCUCCUCCUGCCUCCCCUUCCCUCAUCCACCUGCUGGCCUCUGUGGAAGCUCCGCCAUAGCCACCACCAAACAACUGACUUAUUUUUACACAUCUGCCAGCAUCUGGCCAAUCCACCACCUUUCAUUGUUUAUACCGUUGCUAAAAGAAAAAAAAAAAGUCAUGACCCAUAACAACGAAAAAUCACCAUCGAUGGUGGGCCGGACUCAAAUGUUACUGAACUUCUCCAGCUAUAGUCGUGCCAUCAGUUAACCCUUUGCGUGCCAGCUGUGGCACGCAUGCCCAGGGUUGCCGACCACAGACGUAUCGUAAAAGAGUUAGUCAUUUAUUUUAUUACUACCUGUAAUUUAUUGCAGUUUACUUGUAUUUGCUUAAUUGUUUACUAAAUGUUUGAGGUGUGAAAUAAACUGCAAUGGAGUUUGAAAACAAAAUAUGGGUGUGUGUGGUU
ensembl:lncRNA